AGUGAACGCUGGCGGUAGGCCUAACACAUGCAAGUCGAACGGCAGCACAGUAAGAGCUUGCUCUUACGGGUGGCGAGUGGCGGACGGGUGAGGAAUACAUCGGAAUCUACUUUUUCGUGGGGGAUAACGUAGGGAAACUUACGCUAAUACCGCAUACGACCUACGGGUGAAAGCAGGGGAUCUUCGGACCUUGCGCGAUUGAAUGAGCCGAUGUCGGAUUAGCUAGUUGGCGGGGUAAAGGCCCACCAAGGCGACGAUCCGUAGCUGGCCUGAGAGGAUGAUCGGCCACACUGGAACUGAGACACGGUCCAGACUCCUACGGGAGGCAGCAGUGGGGAAUAUUGGACAAUGGGCGCAAGCCUGAUCCAGCAAUACCGCGUGGGUGAAGAAGGCCUUCGGGUUGUAAAGCCCUUUUGUUGGGAAAGAAAAGCAGCAGGUUAAUACCCCGCUGUUCUGACGGUACCCAAAGAAUAAGCACCGGCUAACUUCGUG
rnacentral:rRNA from 1 species